AUGGGAUUGCAAAACUCGCUCUGCGAGAAUCAGCUGCGGCUGGAGGAGGAAAUGCUUCAGCUUCCUGCUCGAGAAAAAAAAAUUCCCAGAGUUGCAGCCAUCCCCAGGCCGGGGCUGGGACAGCCUCUGCUGAAGGCAAACAGCGCUGGGCACCGGCCAGCACCCAGCCCUGCCUGGGGCGGGCAGACGGGAGGCAAAGGCAGAGCAGGAUGCGUGCCCAGGGGCUGUGCUCAGCCUCCGUCAGCGGUGCCAGGCUCCCAGGCACGGUCCUGCCGUGCCUGUUUGGUGCUGAGGGGUCAGUGCUGGCCCCAGCUGCACGGGCUGCAGUAUUGCACGUGGGGACGUGCUCAGGGUGGGCUGCUGGCACUGUUCUGCUUACGGAGCUACCGGGUGCUCCGGCCGGGUGCUCAAAGCCCCACCAGGGGCUUCUCCAGAGCACAGAAGCCUGCAGUAGCUGGUCUUUUUCCAAGUCUUCUCCAUAGCUCCGUGAGAAGAUGGAUUUAUCACGACCUGUCCAUCUCCAAGAGCUGCUUUGCAGACGUUACAGGUCCCAGAGGCUUCCCACACCCAGCUGCAAGGACAGCCCAGAUCCUCCGGCCCUGCCCCAAAACCUCUCUGCUUGUGCAAGCCCAGCGUGCUCCCAGCAGCCGAGCCACGCUGCGGCUGCCGCACGGCUCCGGCGGUGCCCACGCACCCUGGGACCACAAAAUUAUCCAUGCAACCACGUUCAUUCACCCCAGCCUCUCCUGUUCCCCGGGGGUGUUCCUGCAGACCCCAGCUCCAGCUCCCUCCCGGCUGUGCCAGCACCGCAGAGCUCAGCAGCUCCCUGUCCCCGCAGGAGGCACGGCCCCGGCAGCCUUUGAGCCUGCCCCAGGUAAAUCUGCCCCAAAGAAGCGCAGAGAAGGCGAGAGGAAGCAGGUGCAGACAGAGCAAACAAGGCUGCCUCCCUCCCCAGCCGCAAACCCUCCCCCCAUGCGUGCGAAGCACCAGAUCCGGCCCGGCCCCAGCGCCUGCAAACACUGCCAGCGGCUUUCGGCAGCGAGCAAAGGGCGGAGGGGAGAUUUCGGGGCAUUCCCCAGCCCCGGCUGCUCCCGAGCUGCACCUCCAGCGUCGCUCUCACCGUAUUUCAGCGAUCAAGGAGACCGAGGACUUCUCAUCUCAGCAGGGAAAACCAAGGGAGGCCGUGGCGGGGCUCAGCGUCACCGGCCCCACAUGCACACGGGCUCGGUCACGCGGCAACGCUUCAGCGGUGCCUCCGUGGGGUGUCCCCAGAGAGGGGCCAGAAUUAGCCCCAGAUGCUCAGAUCCUGGCCCUGCUGGGGAAAAAGGCAGCGGGGAGGGCAAGGGGGUCACAGCCCAGGCCUGGAGCUGA
rnacentral:lncRNA from 1 species